rnacentral:rRNA from 1 species
AUACGUAGGUGGCAAGCGUUGUCCGGAAUUAUUGGGCGUAAAGCGCGCGCAGGUGGUUCCUUAAGUCUGAUGUGAAAGCCCCCGGCUCAACCGGGGAGGGUCAUUGGAAACUGGGGAACUUGAGUGCAGAAGAGGAUAGUGGAAUUCCAAGUGUAGCGGUGAAAUGCGUAGAGAUUUGGAGGAACACCAGUGGCGAAGGCGACUGUCUGGUCUGUAACUGACACUGAGGCGCGAAAGCGUGGGGAGCAAACAGGAUUAGAUACCCUGGUAGUCCACGCCGUAAAGGAUGAGUGCUAAGUGUUGGGGGGUUUCCGCCCCUCAGUGCUGCAGCUAACGCAUUAAGCACUCCGCCUGGGGAGUACGGUCGCAAGACUGAAACUCAAAUGAAUUGACGGGG